rnacentral:rRNA from 1 species
GAUGAACGCUGGCGGCGUGCCUAAUACAUGCGAGUCGAGCGAACAGACGAGGAGCUUGCUCCUCUGACGUUAGCGGCGGACGGGUGAGUAACACGUGGAUAACCUACCUAUAAGACUGGGAUAACUUCGGGAAACCGGAGCUAAUACCGGAUAAUAUAUUGAACCGCAUGGUUCAAUAGUGAAAGACGGUUUUGCUGUCACUUAUAGAUGGAUCCGCGCCGCAUUAGCUAGUUGGUAAGGUAACGGCUUACCAAGGCGACGAUGCGUAGCCGACCUGAGAGGGUGAUCGGCCACACUGGAACUGAGACACGGUCCAGACUCCUACGGGAGGCAGCAGUAGGGAAUCUUCCGCAAUGGGCGAAAGCAUGACGGAGCAACGCCGCGUGAGUGAUGAAGGUCUUCGGAUCGUAAAACUCUGUUAUUAGGGAAGAACAAAUGUGUAAGUAACUAUGCACGUCUUGACGGUACCUAAUCAGAAAGCCACGGCUAACUACGUG